CGACCGGCGCACGGGUGAGUAACACGUAUCCAACCUACCCUUUACUCGGGGAUAGCCUUUCGAAAGAAAGAUUAAUACCCGAUAGCAUAAUGAUUCCGCAUGGUUUCAUUAUUAAAGGAUUCCGGUAAAGGAUGGGGAUGCGUUCCAUUAGGUUGUUGGUGGGGUAACGGCCCACCAAGCCUUCGAUGGAUAGGGGUUCUGAGAGGAAGGUCCCCCACAUUGGAACUGAGACACGGUCCAAACUCCUACGGGAGGCAGCAUG
rnacentral:rRNA from 1 species